AUAUAUAAUUAAAUACAAAAAUAGAGAUUGGUGUGCGAUGAUAAGAAUAAUGUU
rnacentral:guide_RNA from 1 species